GACGAACGCUGGCGGCGUGCUUAACACAUGCAAGUCGAACGGAAAGGCCCUGCUUGCAGGGUACUCGAGUGGCGAACGGGUGAGUAACACGUGGGUGAUCUGCCCUGCACUUCGGGAUAAGCCUGGGAAACUGGGUCUAAUACCGGAUAGGAGCCAUUUUUAGUGUGAUGGUUGGAAAGUUUUUUCGGUGUAGGAUGAGCUCGCGGCCUAUCAGCUUGUUGGUGGGGUAAUGGCCUACCAAGGCGGCGACGGGUAGCCGGCCUGGGAGGGUGGACGGCCACAUUGGGACUGAGAUGCGGCCCAGACUCCUACGGGAGGCAGCAGUGGGGAAUAUUGCACAAUGGGCGCAAGCCUGAUGCAGCGACGCCGCGUGGGGGAUGACGGCCUUAGGGUUGUAAACUCCUUUCGCUAGGGACGAAGCUUUUUGUGACGGUACCUAGAUAAGAAGCACCGGCUAACUACGUG
rnacentral:rRNA from 1 species